GUCGUCAUGCGGAUGCUCCGGGAGCGUCGAGGGAUGGUCGACACCGUGUGCAAAAUCUCCCAGUUCUUCCCGAGUAAACUGCCUCUGUAUCAGGAUCAGUGUGUGAGUGUGAAAUUUGAGACUUGUGUCCCUUGUGAGCUUUUAUUUUGAAAGGGGCCUCUUGUAGUGAUGACUCUGCUUGUUCUGUGAACUCCUCAGGACAUUUUAGCAUCUUUUAGCUCAUUGUUUUGGUUUUCACUUGCUAACAUCGCUCUCAUCAAUUCAUUCUUUAAAAAAAAAAUAAUUGUAAUAAUUAAUUUUCAUGAAGACGUCAUCGUGAUAGUUAUUGAAACCAUAUGAUGACGAAUGGCCAUUUGAUUUAAAUAAGCUGUAACUCGCGUCUCUCAUCCUAUUGGUCACAACUGUUAAUGCAUUACUACUAAUAUAUGUGAUGUCAUUCCCACCAUGUAAUAAUUAUGACAGUUUUUUUGAUCUAUUUAAGCUUAAGUUUACCUGGAAAAAAUGUUGUUUUUUAGCAAUGCCUCGCGUGAUUUUCGGACCAUAUUUUUUAAAUAUCGCACAAGGGUUUGAAAACGAUUCUGCCAGCGCAUGGUAACGGACGCUCACGUCUGCAUCUGUUUGUUAACAUUCGUCAUAUCAACUUUAUAAGGUGAUGAUUUAUGAGUAUUUGAAAUAUUUUAUAACUCAGAGAGUGUGAUGGGAUAACUUCAGACAUUGUUAAUUCUGUGGGACGUCGUCUGGAGAUCUUUUUACGUAGCUAUAAUCUGUUGCGGUAUUUAAAUGAACGUACACUUUAUAUAGAUUUGUGACUCAAACAAACAAACAUGGAGUUGAGACGCCGUUGUCCAGCUGAGUGUGAUGUCACAUCCUGUGUUUUAUUUCCUCGGAACAGAACCAACACCAGAUGUUCCUCAUGAGGAAGAACAACAUGGAAUUCAGGACUCUGGCACAAGCUCUGGCGAUGGACGAGGACAAACUCGCAGAUUAUUCUGAGAAUCAGAUGGAGAAGCAGUACGGUGAACACUACGCUCAGAAGGUGGAGGACCGGCUGCUGCACUAUCUGCACCAGCUGGAGGCGGCGUUACCUGGAGACACGUUCGUCGACAAGAUCCUGAAGAAGCAAAGUCCCGUGACCGAGGAGGAGAAGCUGCUGCUGGACGUUAUCACCUCGGACUCUGUCACCAUAGCAACAACUCUGAGGAAGCUGCUGCACUGUGAUUCAGCUUCCUGUCGUCCACGCGUUGUUCCUCCGUCGUCAGAACACGGAGAGACUGAAGAGCGAGGCUCUCCACUCACUCGGUCUGGUCCGCGCUGCAGCUCCUCGAAGGCUCAAAGCCUCGAGUCGCCCGACGGCAAGACUCUGGCGACUCCCCGGGAGUUUCAGGCUGCGCAGGAAGUGUCUGGAGAUGUUGGGAGGCGUCACCUGACGAAUGAGGGCGGCGAGGAACAGGAGGAGGAAACCAAUGGGAGAAGCAGGGAAGGCGCCUCCUCGCCCCAGUUCUGCUCCAAACACCAGCGAUGGGUGGAGAGCAUCCUGCAGGAGUGUCCCGACGAGUGUUCAGAGGAGUCCUCGUCCCCUCCUCUGUUCCCGUCGUCCUCGUCCACGUCCUCAUCGUCGCAGGACCUCACCCCGUCUGACCUCGUCCCAUGUCCCUCCGGCCAACAGCGUCCUCCCUCACAGACCGGCACCCGUCCUCCGACGGCGGCGGCGGCCCCGGCGCCCGAGCGGUCGAACCCCAAAGACGAGCGGAGCUCUGGGGCAGCGAGCGAUGGCGCUCUUCCUCGGCCCCGGUCCAGAGACUCUCUGCUGCCCGACCUGUUGUCCCCGGUCGUCCGACUGAUCGACAUCGCCUCCGUCAGAAGGAGCCUCCCCACCUUUACACCCCAUCGCGCCAUGAAGGCGUCUGCUUCCGGUCCUCAGCGACCAACCUCUCCUCCUCACUGCUGCACCUCCGUGAACAAAGACUCCUCAGUAGAUCGGUUGGAAAUCGUGGCCCCAACAAAUCCCCCAAACACGACGUGCACAUCUCCUGUAUCUCACGAUGCCUCCGCCACCGCCGGUGGUCAGACACGAACCCGACAGUCUCGUUCCAGACUCUCGAGGAAGCACAGACGGACUCGCGCGACCUCCGGACGUUCACCGACCACCUCGUCCGACUUGGGCGUCUCAGGACCUUCAGAACAAGACGCCUCGACCUCCGAUCCUCAAUCCGAGGCUUCGUCUUCUUUCUCUUCUAACAGGAUCCCUUCAUCUCCCGGAUCAUCUCCACACGUCGUCCCUUCCGACUCAAUCAAAGAUCAACCUCGGACACUCAACGCCAACACCCGACCGCGCUCCGCCGCCGCCGCCUCCUCCUCUACCUUCGACUCUGAACAUCCGGCCGUCGUGUCCGACGCCUGCGCGGCCCGGCCGAGGCUGUCGCUGCCCUGUCAGGCCGCGCUGCUGCGGUCCACGCUGCUGCAGCCCCACGUGGGCCUGAGCCGGCUGAGCGCUCGGGAGUGUGACCGCCUGACGGAGGGCAGAUCCUCGGUCGGGCGCCUGGAGCCACAAGGCAGCGACCGCGGACGAGGACGAAAGGAACGCAGAAGAUGA
rnacentral:lncRNA from 1 species